GGUUCAGAACGAACGCUGGCGGCGUGCUAACACAUGCAAGUCGAACGCGAAAGGGACUUCGGUCCUGAGUAAAGUGGCGGCACGGGUGAGUAACGCGUAGAUAACCUGUCUUCAUGUCUGGAAUAAUACGCCGAAAGGGGUACUAAUACCGGAUAUCUUGCUUUUCAUAAGUUAUGCAAGCAAAGGUGGCCUCUGCAUAUGCUACUGCAUGAAGAGGGGUCUGCGUACCAUUAGCUAGUAGGUGGGGUAAUGGCCUACCUAGGCGACGAUGGUUAGCGGGUCUGAGAGGAUGAUCCGCCACACUGGCACUGGAACACGGGCCAGACUCCUACGGGAGGCAGCAGUGAGGAAUAUUGCGCAAUGGGGGAAACCCUGACGCAGCGACGCCGCGUGAAGUGAGGAAGGCCUUCGGGUCGUAAAGCUCUGUCAAGAGGAAAGAAGUGUACAAUGGCUAAUACCUGUUGUAUUUGACGGUACCUCUAAAGGAAGCACCGGCUAACUCCGUGCCAGCCGCGGC
rnacentral:rRNA from 1 species